AACGUAGGACGCAAGCGUUAUCCGGAGUUACUGGGCGUAAAGGGCGGGCAGGCGGCUUCUCAAGUCUGAUGUGAAAGCGCCCAGCUAAACUGGGCGAGGCCAUUGGAAACUGGGGAGCUGGAGGGCAGCAGAGGCAGGUGGAAUUCCGGGUGGAGUGGUGAAAUGGCGUAGAGAUCCGGAGGAACCCCAGAGGCGAAGGCGGCCUGCUGGGCUGCACC
rnacentral:rRNA from 1 species